UUACGUUCACAUCAUGUUGAAACAUCGGUUCCCGUACGAUCACCAAAGUUAAGCAACGUCGAGCCAGGUCAGUAACUAGAUGAGCGACCGCUUGGGAAUACCAGUUGCUGCAAU